GAUGAACGCUGGCGGCGUGCCUAAUACAUGCAAGUCGAGCGAACAGACGAGGAGCUUGCUCCUCUGACGUUAGCGGCGGACGGGUGAGUAACACGUGGAUAACCUACCUAUAAGACUGGGAUAACUUCGGGAAACCGGAGCUAAUACCGGAUAAUAUAUUGAACCGCAUGGUUCAAUAGUGAAAGACGGUUUUGCUGUCACUUAUAGAUGGAUCCGCGCCGCAUUAGCUAGUUGGUAAGGUAACGGCUUACCAAGGCAACGAUGCGUAGCCGACCUGAGAGGGUGAUCGGCCACACUGGAACUGAGACACGGUCCAGACUCCUACGGGAGGCAGCAGUAGGGAAUCUUCCGCAAUGGGCGAAAGCCUGACGGAGCAACGCCGCGUGAGUGAUGAAGGUCUUCGGAUCGUAAAACUCUGUUAUUAGGGAAGAACAAAUGUGUAAGUAACUAUGCACGCCUUGACGGGACCUAAUCAGAAAGCCACGGCUAACUACGU
rnacentral:rRNA from 1 species